UGCGUGGAUGUCUUCCAGCAUGGAAAAGUGGAAAUCAUUGCCAGUGACCAGGGGAUCCGAACCACACCGAGCUAUGUUGCUUUUACUGACACUGAAGGAUUGAUUGGUGAUGCUGCAAAGAAUCAGGUUGCCAUGAACCCCAUGAACAGUAUUUGAUGCCAAACGUCUAAUCAGGUGCAAGUUUGAUGAUGCUGUUGUUCAGUCUGACGUGGAACACUGGCCCUUCAUGGUGGUGAACGAUGCAGACAGGCCCAAGGUCUAAAGAGAGUACAAAGGGGAGACCAAAGGUUUCUUUCCAGAAAAGGUGUCCUCUAUGGUUCUAAUGAAGAUGAAGGAAAUUGCAGAAGGCUACCUUGGCAAGACUAAUGCCAUGGUCACAAUGCCAGCUUACUUCAUGACUCUCAGUGGCAGGCAACCAAAGAUGCUGGAACCAUUGCUAGCUUCAAUGCACUUUCAAGGCACUAACUUCAAUGAACCAACUGCUGCUGCUAUUGCUCACGCCUUAGAUAAGAAAGUUGGAGCAGAGAGAAAUACACUGAUUUUUUAUUUGAAAGUGACACUUUUAUUUGAAAGUGGCACUUUUGAUGUGUCAAUCUUCACUAUUGAGGAUGGAAUCUUUGAGGUCAAAUCUAUAGCUAGAGACACCCAUUUUGAUGGAGAAGGCUUUGACAACCAAAUGGUCAACCACUUCAUUGCUGAGUUUAAACGCAAGCACAAGAAGGACAUCAGUGAGAACAAGAGAGUUGUCUGCAAUCUCCGCACUGCUUGUGAGUGGGCUAAGUGUACCCUCUCCUCCAGGAUCCAGGCAGUAUUGAGAUUGAGUCUCUCUAUGAGACUCAACUUAUACACCUCCAUUACCCAGGCUCGAUUUGAAAGUUGAAUGUUAACUUGUUCUGUGGCACUCUGGCCCCUGUAGAAAAAGCCCUUUGAGAUGCCACACUAGACAAGCCUCAGAUCUAUGAUAUUGUUCUGGUGGGUGGUUCCACAUGUAUCCCCCAAGAUUCAGAAGCUUCUGCAAGACUUCUUCAAUGGAAAAGAACUGAAUAAGAACAUUAGCUGAAGCUAAUGAAGCUGUUGCUUAUGGUGCAGCUGUCCAUCCAGGCUGCCAUUCUAUCUGAAAAUGUUCAAGAUCUGCUGCUCUUGGAUGUCAUUCCUCUUUCCCUUGGUAUUGAAAUGGCUAGUGGAGUCAUGACUGUCCUCAUUAAGCACAAUACUACCAUUCCUACCAAGCAGAAGCAGACCUUCACUACCUACUCUGACAACCAGCCUGGCGUGCUCAUUCAGGUAGAUAGAUGAAGGUUUUGAAAGAGCCAUGACCAAGGAUAACAACCUGUUUGGGAAGUUUGAGCUCACAGGCAUACCUCCUGCACCCCGAGGUGUUCCUCAGAUUGAAGUCACUUUUGAUACUGAUGCCAAUGGUAUCCUCAAUGCUUUUGCUGUAGAUAAGAGUACAGGAAAAGAAAACAAGAUUACCAUCACCAGUGACAAAGGCUGCUUGAGCAAGGAGGACAUUGAGCAUAUGGUCCAGGAAGCUGAGAAGUACAAAGCUGAAGAAGACAAGAAGCAGAGACAAAGCAUCAUCAAAGAACUCACUGGAGUCCUAUGCAUUCAACAUAAAAGCAACAGCUGAAGAUGAGAAACUUCAAGGCAAGAUCAAUGAUGAGGACAAACAGAAGAUUCCUGACAAGCGUAAUGAAAUCAUCAGUUGGCUGCAUAAGAAUCAGUCUGCUAAGAAGGAAGAAUUUGAGCACCAGCAGAAAGAACUGGAGAAAGUCUGCAACCCCAUCAUUACCAAGCUGUACCAGAGUGCCGGUGGCAUGCCAGGAGGAAUGCCUGGGGGCUUCCCUGGUGGCUGAGCUCCUCCCUCUGGUGGUGCUUCUUCCCGGCCCACCAUCGAAGAGGUUGAUUAAAGUCAAUCCAAGUAAAGAUGUAGCAUUGU